UCCAGACUCCUACGGGAGGCAGCAGUGAGGAAUAUUGGUCAAUGGGCGGGAGCCUGAACCAGCCAAGCCGCGUGAAGGAAGAAGGCGCCAAGCGUCGUAAACUUCUUUUGUCGGGGAACAAAGGGCGCCACGUGUGGCGUUGUGAGUGUACCCGAAGAAAAAGCAUCGGCUAACUCCGUGCCAGCAGCCGCGGUAAUACGGAGGAUGCGAGCGUUAUCCGGAUUCACUGGGUGUAAAGGGAGCGUAGACGGCGACGCAAGUCUGGAGUGAAAGCCCGGGGGCCAACCCCGGGACUGCUCUGGAAACUGCGGCGCUGGAGUACGGGAGGGGCAGGCGGAAUUCCUGGUGUAGCGGUGAAAUGCGUAGAUAUCAGGAGGAACACCGGCGGCGAAGGCGGCCUGCUGGACUGCGACUGACGUUGAGGCCCGAAAGCGUGGGGAGCAAACAGGAUUAGAUACCCCAGUAA
rnacentral:rRNA from 1 species